GCUGAACCCACGUCUGUUGAAAAAUACGGGGACGAUUUAAGAAUAGGGGUGAAAGUCCAAUCAAACUUGGUGAUAGCUGGUUUUCCGCGAAAACUAUCAAAGUAGUACGUUGCUUUUCAAAAAUGUGGGUAGAGCUACUUAUUAAACUUAGAUUUUGCUAAGUUUUAUUAAACUCCAAAUUAUAUUUUUAUUUAGCAGCAGACAGUCAUUAGGCGAUAAGGUUCAAUGUCAAAAGGGAAACAACCCUAAUCGAUGGUUAAGAUCUUAAAAUUAUGAAUUAGUGAAAAAAUGAAAAGUAAUUCGAAUAAACAGAGUAGGCUUAGAAGCAGCCAUCUAUUGGAGAAAGCGUUUUAGCUCAUUAUUUUUACUUAUUUUACUCAUUUAAAAUGUAAGGAGACUUAAAUUCAUAUAUCGAAGCUUCGAAUUAAGUUUAAUUUUUCUUAAUGGUAGCGGAACGUCCUGUAGUCUUUUCUGUUAAUGUUAAAUUGCAUAUUAAAAAUCAGGAGUGCUAAUGCUGACAUGAGUAGCGUCAACCAUGUUGAAAAUAAAUCAUGGUCGUCUAUUGCUCAAGGGUUUCCAGUAAAUUUUAAGUAACUGGGUUUAGUCGGCCCUUAAAAAAAAAGUGAAAACUGUACUUGAUAGGAAAAUUAUUCCGCAUGUUUGCAAAAUAUUUUUGUGUAAAAAAGUACUUUUAAAAGUUUUGCUUAAUAAACUAGCAACUUAAAAAAAGUAUUUUUCAGGAAAAUUUGCAUGAAGUUUGACCGUACUUAGAACCGACACAGGUGAGCUUAUUGAGAAGAUAAAGACGAAUGAGAUAAUUAUACUUAAGGAACUCGGCAAAUUUGCUCCGUACGUUCGCAACAAGGAGUACCUUAAAGGAUUCAAAAAUUAGGGGUAGCGACUGUUUAACAAAAACUCAAAACUUUGCAAAUUCGAAAGAAGACGUAUAAGGUUUGACGCCUGCCCAGUGCUUGAAAGCGAAAAAUACACGUUAACGCUUGUAUCAUAAACUCAAGUAAACGGCGGUCUUAACUAUAAGGAUCCUCAGGUAGCGAAAUUCCUUGGCGGGUAAAUUCCGUCCUGCAUGAAUGGCGUCACGACUACCCCACUGUCUCUAGUAUAAACUCAGCGAAAUUACAUUGUCUGUGAAAAUGCAGACAUCCUACAACAAGACGGAAAGACCCUAUGAUUCUUAACUAUAAUUUUACGUCGCAAUAAUUUUGUGUACAGUACAGUAAAAGUAGGAGUAUACUUAUACAAUUUUGAAAAACUACUCUGUACAUAAGAAAUUGCUUACUGAAGAGAAAAUAUGUAAAAGUGGUAGUUUACUUGGGACGAGGACCUCCUAAACUGUAACGGAGGUGCACAAAAGUAAAUUUUAAUUAGUUUUUUGUAUUAAUAAAAUAUGUAAUGGUAAAAAUUUGCUUGACGGUAAGAGUUACAACUCAAACCGGGACGAAAGUCGGUCAUAAUGAUCCGGCAGUAAUGUAUGGAAAUACUGUCGCUUAUCGGAAAAAAGAAACUCUAGGGAUAACAGAUUUAUCAUGGCUGAGAGUUCUUAUCGACGCCAUGGUUUGAUACCUCGAUGUCGGCUCAUCUUUUCCUGGAGCUGUAACAGGUUCCAAGGGUAUGGUUGUUCGCCAAAUAAUAAGAUACGUGAGCUGGGUUCAGAACGUCGUGAGACAGUUCGGUCCCUAUCUGUUGUGGGUAAGAAAAAACUAGAUUUAUCUUUAGUACGAGAGGAUUAAGAUAUAUUAACCAAUAGUGUAUCGGUUGUAUUGUUUCUUGCAUUGCCGAGUAGCCACGUUAACAUUAUAUAAGUGCUGACAGCUUAAAAGCACAAAAAUAAUCUUUAUUUUUUCAAGAACUUUCUAGAAGAUUACUAGAUAGAUCGGUUUAUUAUUUAAUACUUGUAAAAGUAAGUAAAUAAAUACGAAAAGUUCAUUAUAAUUUGUGUU
rnacentral:rRNA from 1 species